rfam:TPA: Bos taurus chromosome 7, whole genome shotgun sequence.
UGGCUCAGAGGAUAAAGCAUCUGCCUGCAAUGCAGGAGACCCAGGUUCGAUCCCUGG